rnacentral:ribozyme from 1 species
UGACAGAGAAAAAGGAAAAAAGAAAAAAGGAAAAUAUUCAAAUAAAAAACAGACUUGUGACCCAACUACCACUGCUUCUUCCUCUUCUCUCUCUCCCUCUCCUCCUGUCUCUCUCU